rnacentral:rRNA from 1 species
UAAUACGUAGGGUCCAAGCGUUAUCCGGAAUCACUGGGCGUAAAGCGUGCGUAGGCGGGAGUUUAAGUGAGUUGUUAAAUCGUGUGGCUCAACCAUAUCGAUGCAAUUCAUACUGGAUUCCUAGAGGAAGGCAGAGGCAAGUGGAAUUGGUAGUGUAGCAGUGAAAUGCGUAGAUAUUACCAGGAACACCAAUGGCGAAGGCAGCUUGCUGGGCCUUUUCUGACGCUGAGGUACGAAAGCGUGGGGAGCGAACAGGAUUAGAUACCCUGGUAGUCCACGCCGUAAACGAUGCAUACUAGUCGUAUGGGGUAUCGACCCCCUGUGCGACGAAGCUAACGCGAUAAGUAUGCCGCCUGGGAAGUACGACCGCAAGGUUA